UUAGUUUUAAUAUUAUUUUAUUUAUUUUUUAUUUUUUUAUUUAAUAAGAAUAAUUUAUUUUUUAGUAAUAUUUUAUGAAUCAAUUUUGAUUUAUUAUAGUUUAUUUGUACUGUGAAGGAUUUAUUUUUUUUGUUUAUAAGUAUAUUUUUAUAGUACCUUUUGUAUCAGGGUUUAUUAAAAUUUAUUUAAUUAUAUUAAGUUUCCCGAAAGUAAAAGAUAUAAAGUUUUAUAAUUUUUUAUGUUUUAUAAUAAUUUUUAAUAUUACUUUAGGAAUUAUAUGUUAUUCAUUUUUAUAUAUCUGGUUCUUUAAUAAAUUAAUUUAAUUUAGGAUAUUUAUGGUUUAUUUAUAUUUUUAUUUUAUUUAAAUUUAAAUAUCAAAGAUUGUUAGGGAUAAGCUUGACAUUUAUUUCUAUAAUAUUAUUUUAUUUAAAUUUUGUAGGUUUAAUAACAUCCAUCUUUAAUUUCGUUAUAGUUUAAUUUAUUUUAAAUUUUAUUUUGUUAAUAUUUAGUUUAUUAUUAAAGUUAAGUAUUUAAUUUUUUAUUAUUUGUAUUAAUGAUAGAAUUAGUAGAUUAUUAAUUUAAGUUUAGUAACUCGGCAAUUAUUACUCUCGCCUGUUUAACAAAAACAUGUCUUAUUGAUAAUAAUUUUAAGUCUAGCCUGCUCAAUGAAUUUUAUUUUAAUAGCCAUAGUAUUUUAACUAUGCAAAGGUAGCAUAAUCAUUUGUCUUUUAAUUGAAGGCUUGUAUGAAGGGUUUGACGAAGGGUAAACUUUCUUAAUUUAAAUUUAAUUAAAUUUAACUUCUGGGUAAAAAGGCUCAGAUACAGUUUUGGGACGAGAAGACCCUAUAGAAUUUUAUUAUUAUUUAUUAUUUUUAUUAUAUUAUUAAUAGGAGUUAUUUUGUAAUAAUUUUGUUGGGGUGACAGUGGAACUUUUUUAACUUCUAUUAUUUAUAUUUCAUUAAUUAGUGUUUUAUUGAUCCUUUAUUAUGGAUUAUAAGAUUAAAUUACCUUAGGGAUAACAGCGUAAUUUUUUUGGAGAGUUCUUAUCGAUGAAAUAGUUUGCGACCUCGAUGUUGGAUUAAAGUUAAUUAUUAGUGCAGAAAUUAAUAAAUUAGGUCUGUUCGACCUUUAAAUCUUUACAUGAUCUGAGUUCAGACCGGCGUAAGCCAGGUUGGUUUCUAUCUAUAAUUUUUAUUAAAUAGUUUAGUACGAAAGGAUCCACUAUUUUUAAUAUUUAAUUUAUCUUUGAUUUAUAUUA
rnacentral:rRNA from 1 species